rnacentral:misc_RNA from 1 species
GAUGAAGAACGCAGCGAAAUGCGAUAAGUAAUGUGAAUUGCAGAAUUCAGUGAAUCAUCGAAUCUUUGAACGCACAUUGCGCCCGCCAGCAUUCUGGCGGGCAUGCCUGUUCGAGCGUCAUUUCAACCCUCGAGCCCGACUUCCUUGCGGAGGACGGCUCGGCGUUGGGGGACGGCACACUCCCCCCGGCUCGCCGGGGACGCCGCCCCCGAAAUUCAGUGGCGGCCCUCGGAGGCGACCUCUGCGUAGUAACUCAACCUCGCAAAGGGAAGCUCCGAGCGGCCACGCCGUGAAACCCCAACUAUAUCAAGGUUGACCUCGAAUCAGGUAGGACUACCCGCUGAACUUAAGCAUAUCAAUAAGCGGAGGA